GCGUCGGUAGCGCAACGGACUAGAGCAGGCGUCCCCGGAUAGGGCAAAAUGCGGGUUCGAGUCCCGCCUAACGCA